GCGACCAUAGUUUAAUGGUAAAAUACCUGCUUGCCAAGUAGGAGAUUUGGGUUCAAUUCCCAAUGGUCGCA
rnacentral:tRNA from 1 species